UCUCUCUCUCUCUCUCUCCCUCUCCCUCUCCCACUCUCUCUCUUUAUGUGUGUAUGUAUGUAUAUAUGUAUAUAUAUAUAUAUGUAUAGUGCUACUACUUGUAUGUGAAAACUAUUGAUUCGCAAAUUGACGUGCAAGUAGUAUGUUUCCGUCGACGAAACGAGAAGAUCUGCUCAACAUGUAUUGAAGAAACCAGCUACGCGUUUUUCUUUCUAGAGGGCAUUCCAAGCAUACCAGUAGUUGUACUAUUUCACGAGAGAGUGCAUUCUAUAAGAAAUUUGAUUGGUUGCAAAAAAAGUGCAAUAGAUAAUUUUAUUUUUUUCCAUUCUAUUUAAUUUUGGAAAUAAGUAGAAAUAAAUGAAUUCAAAUCGCGUAUCUAUACCGUUAUAAAGAUGUUAUUGUUUCGAAUUUGUAAAAAGAUUUUUACCCGUUUAAGGGGUAAUUCUUUUUCAUAAAUGUUAAUGCCAUAAGUAGUAAGUAAUUUAUUGCAUCAUCCGUACAUUCGAAUGCUUUCAGAUUGUUUUAUAUUUUAAGUAAAUAUAUUUUCACGCAAGUGUCUUUAAAGAUGAUAAAUAUUGAAAGAAAUGUUUCAAAGAGAAAUUAAUUUAUGGAUGCGGUUAUCGAACGAUUAAUACAUUUUUAUUUAGGUGCAUACAUUUUGAAAAUUUCAAGGUGUGCAGUUUAUAGAAGAUAAAUUUAAUUAUAUAUAAUAUGUGAAAGGUGCGUGAUUAUUUAAGGUCGUUUGGUAAUUUCUGACAGUAUGAAAAUAUUGUGCAUCAAUUCAUCUAUAUAUUUUUGCUAUCUCUGUAUAGGUUUUAUAUGAAUCUAAUCUGAUUUAGUUUUGCUAAGAUUAUCAUUGAAUUAUUAAAGACUUCCUAAUAAGAAAUAUUCUUAAACAUUCUGUUUUCAUUUUGGAAUUUUACAAGUAGAAAGUUUAGUAAGAAUGACGAGUUUUGUAAACUAUGAUCUAUUAAUUGUAGAGGGUGUAUAAAUAUUAUGCGUAAAGAUCACCAUUGGAAGAUGAGGUGCAUCGAUCGGCACAUCAUUAUGAAAUGUGAUUGCGUUAUAAAAAAAUAUAAUUUACAUGGCCUACAUCUCCACUUAUAAAGAAAGCUAAUAACAACAAAUAGUCCCUCCUUCAGUCCCAUUCAAUAUUCGUUUGAAAAGUUUUUCUUAUGCAACGAUGAACAAAAUACAAUGAAAACAAAAAGAUUUUGAAAUUAAAACUAAAAUUCAAGCUGCAGUUGAUAAUUUUUCACCAAACGUUUCUUACAAAUGCCCACUGACCUGAAAUUGUAUUGAUCUUUAUACAUAAUAUUUAUACAUUCUGUGUAUAUUUAUAAAAGUUUAUAAAUUUUGGUUGGAAAAAAGCCAACAUAAAAGUUUUCAAGAAAAUAUAGAAGAUGAUAUGACAAAUAAGGGAAUUGCGUUAAAUAUAUGAGAAGUAUAUAAAGAAAACAAGGUCAAUUUCUUACGCCUUUAUAAAAAGAGAAAGGUAAUAAAUAUAUUAUAUAUUUGUAACACGCCUGAAUUACUUAAAAAAUGGAAAUAGGUAUUGAUUAAUUAUAACAAUUUAUUUUUUCUUUCUAUCAUAAACUGUUGUACCUUUCUGUCAAAUUCUUGUCUAUUAAAUUUAUAUUCUUGCGCUAUGUCUGGCAUCAAAGGAUCAUCAGGAUUUGGAUUUCCCAAUAGGCAUUUUACAGCAUCCAGAAGAUUUUUUAUUCCUAUAGUUGGAUUCCAGUUACCUUUUGGUGGCAUGUGUAAAAGAUCCAUACAAAUUCGGCCAUUAUUAUCAAUAUUUGGAUGAUAAAUAGGUGUUUGAAACGUAAUCCUUGGAGGUUCAAACGGAUAUUGUUCAGAAAUAUCUA